CGAAGCGAAAGCGAGUCUGAAUAGGGCGUAUAGUCAGGGGAGGUAGACGCGAAACCUUGUGAUCUACCCAUGGACAGGUUGAAGGUGCGGUAACACGUACUGGAGGACCGAACCGAUAAACGUUGAAAAGUUUCCGGAUGAUCUGUGGGUAGGGGUGAAAGGCUAAUCAAACUGGGAAAUAGCUCGUACUCCCCGAAAUGUUUUUAGGAACAGCGUCGUGGUAAAGUUAUAUAGAGGUAGAGCUACUGAUUGGGUGCGGGGGAGUCAAAUCCUACCAAAUCCAGACAAACUCCGAAUGCUAUAUAAUAUACACGGCAGUGAGGCCCGGGGUGCUAAGGUCACGGGCCGAGAGGGAAAGAACCCAGACCAUCAGCU
rnacentral:rRNA from 14 species